UACGGAGGGGGCAAGCGUUGUUCGGAAUUACUGGGCGUAAAGGGCGCGUAGGCGGAAUAUCAAGUUAGGGGUGAAAGGCCUGGGCUCAACCUAGGAACUGCCUCUAAGACUGAUAAUCUAGAGUCCGGAAGAGGAUGGCGGAAUUCCCAGUGUAGAGGUGAAAUUCGUAGAUAUUGGGAAGAACACCGGUGGCGAAGGCGGCCAUCUGGUCCGGUACUGACGCUGAGGCGCGAAAGCGUGGGGAGCAAAC
rnacentral:rRNA from 1 species